rfam:Gossypium arboreum cultivar AKA8401 contig_248_5, whole genome shotgun sequence.
UAUUAAAAUAUUAAUCUAUUUCUACUGUUAAAAACUGGCGUUACUGACAGAAAAACCAAACAGUUACAUAUGGCAUGCCACAUGUGCCUCAUUUUGACAUACAAUGAUCAAGUUUUAACAGUAGAAAUAGAUGAAAUGUUCAUCA